ACAGCGAAACUGCGAAUGGCUCAUUAUAUAAGUUAUCGUUUAUUUGAUAGUGCCUUACUACUUGGAUAACCGUGGUAAUUCUAGAGCUAAUACAUGCUACAAGCCCUGACUUCGGAAGGGGCGUAUUUAUUAGAUUAAAAACCAAUGCCCUCUGGGCUCCUUGGUGAAUCAUGAUAACUUCACGAAUCGCACGGCCUUGCGCCGGCGAUGGCUCAUUCAAAUUUCUUCCCUAUCAACUUUCGAUGUUUGGGUAGUGGCCAAACAUGGUUGCAACGGGUAACGGAGGGUUAGGGCUCGACCCCGGAGAAGGAGCCUGAGAAACGGCUACUACAUCCAAGGAAGGCAGCAGGCGCGCAAAUUACCCAAUCCCGAUUCGGGGAGGUAGUGACAAUAAAUACUGAUACAGGGCUCUUUCGGGUCUUGUAAUCGGAAUGAGUACAAUUUAAAUCCCUUAACGAGGAACAAUUGGAGGGCAAGUCUGGUGCCAGCAGCCGCGGUAAUUCCAGCUCCAAUAGCGUAUAUUAAAGUUGUUGUGGUUAAAAAGCUCGUAGUUGAACCUUGGGCCUGGCUGGCCGGUCCGCCUCACCGCGUGUACUGGUCCGGCCGGGCCUUUCCCUCUGUGGAACCUCAUGCCCUUCACUGGGUGUGCUGGGGAAACAGGACUUUUACUUUGAAAAAAUUAGAGUGCUCCAGGCAGGCCUAUGCUCGAAUACAUUAGCAUGGAAUAAUAAAAUAGGACGUGCGGUUCUAUUUUGUUGGUUUCUAGGACCGCCGUAAUGAUUAAUAGGGACAGUCGGGGGCAUCAGUAUUCAAUUGUCAGAGGUGAAAUUCUUGGAUUUAUUGAAGACUAACUACUGCGAAAGCAUUUGCCAAGGAUGUUUUCAUUAAUCAGGAACGAAAGUUAGGGGAUCGAAAACGAUCAGAUACCGUUGUAGUCUUAACCAUAAACUAUGCCGACUAGGGAUCGGACGAUGUUAUUUUUUGACUCGUUCGGCACC
rnacentral:rRNA from 1 species